rnacentral:lncRNA from 1 species
CCCCUUGGCUGGACGCCCCCUCCCCCUAUGGCAGCCAUCCUCCAUUGCUUCCUCCCCCAAGAUCUCCUCCUACGCAGCAAGGAUCGAGAAAAGGAGGGGCACGUUGAAUUGAAGAGGAAGAGAGGAUCAAGGAGAUGUUCUUCCCCAUCUCCUCUUGAAGAUUUCUUGGGGAAACCCUAGGUAUGGAUGAGAUCCUUGUUCCUCCCUGUAAUUAUAGGCUUUUGGAGGUUGUAGAUCAUGGGAAUUAAAGGAUUAGAGGUUGGAUUGGAUGUGGGGUUAGGUUUUGAUCUCGAAUUUAGUUUUCUGCAGAAUGGCAGAUUCGACAGUUUCUGUUCAUGCCAGUUUUCCGUGGUCUUAGUGGCCUCAAAAAAAUAAAAAGUCUAUGUAUGAGUCGUAGAUAAUUUGUAGAUCUUUCCGUGGCCGUGAAGAACACCUCAAUCGGAGAUCCGACCAGAGAGUUAUUGCAGUUUUACUAUAGCAGUUUUUCAGUCUCAUAAUUCUGUGCAGAAUCUGUUCUCUUAAGAUUUAGGCAAUUUUAUCAACAGAAUUAAACUGUGGGUUGGUAAAAGAAGUUGUAGAUAAUUUUAUAAGCUUUCCAGAUUGUUAAAGAGUGCAUUCAUAUGAUUUGUGAAACUCCAGUUAUGUUUGUUUUACUGUGGCUGUUCCUGUUUACCUGACAAAAAUGAGUGGGUCUGUUCACUGGUGGGUUUCAUCUAGUAAAUGGCCGAAUUGGCUCUUCCAACUAUGGAGACUUUUGUAGAGGGAUAAAAGUUCUUACUUCCAGCAGAAUUUCAUAAUUUUUGGUUCAGCAGUUUUGGAGAUAUCGAAUUUUAAAGUUAACCAUACUGCUGUCUAAAACAGAUUCAGUCAGGUAUCUUGUCAGAUGUUUUAGAACUUGUAGACGGCAGAAUUUAAUUAUCUAUUGAAUACUGAAGUUGUAGAGUAUUUUGUGUAGAUACUCCUAGAGUAUUUGUUUGAUAUCACCGCUGUUUCAAUUUUAAAGAUACAAAAUUAACAAACAGCGUUGCUGCUGUAUGGCAUGUGGUUCAGGGUGGGAGUCUUUCCACUGGGUCUUGGUUUCAAGUGUAGGAGUGUUUUGUUGAUUGAUGGCAAAUGUUUGUGAAAUAUUUGUAUUAAGUUUUAUGCCCACUAGCAGGUGGCUACACUCCAGAUCAUGUCUAGUACAUUUCUUCUUCUUCGAUGAAGGCAAGUGAAUGUAGCGGUGGUUGCUUCCGUUCUGACCUGUUAUUUCUAUCGCCUACACUCUAAUAUUCAGAAGUAUCAGAUUCUUUCAUAAUUGGACUCUAUGGUGAUGCUUUACUUGCUUGAAUUAUACUGAUGCUCAAUCAUAUAUUGAUGAUGAUUAUGAUUUGAGUAUGACUCAUGAGAUUAAUUCACACCCCUGAAGGUAAAUGAAGUAUUAUUUGAGGUUGGUAUUGUAUCUGAAGGUAAAUGAAGUAUUAUUUGAGGUUUGUGUUGUAUCUGAAGGAAGUGAAGUUUAUUGAUAAAUGUAGCAUGCCAUAUACAUUGCAUGACUCAUUUGCAUAUGAAGUUUUGUCGUGACCUAUGGUCCGACCGUACCGGUACAACUUAGCAUCGUACGUUGCCCGAGAAGGGGUACGAUGCGGCUUCAUACCCUUAGAGGUAUGAAGGCAGAGGACAUAUGCAUUGCAUUCAUAUGCAUUCAUUGAAGUGAUAUUUGCAGAUGAUGUGGUUUUAUACCCCAGAGGUAUGAAGAUAGAGUACCUACACAUUGCAUUCCUAUGCAUACAUUGAAGUGAUAUUUGCAGGUAUUGUUGACGCAGGGAAGUGUUAUAGAACCUAUUGUGGUUGUUCGAGGAAAUGAGAUGGUAUUGGUUAUAGUGGGACUACUGAGUUCUAUAUCUACAAGCAUUUCUGAUUUUUAAUUGUGACUCUUUUAAAAUGUUGAUGAAUUCAAUUUGUGGUUUAAAUAUCUCGUCAGAACAAUUAGCUUGCUGAGAUGUUUCAUCUCACUCUUGCAUUACUCAAUGCAGGUGCUUGUUGCUCAUCAAGGGGAGUGGGAAGUAGCAGCACAUCCACCUUCAUUCUCAUAAUAAUGCUGCCCAGACGCAGCCAUGAUUUAAUUAGAAACUUCUUGUCAAAGGAUGUUUGUUUUUAACUAGUCGUGCGCACUGAUUAAUUCAGUUCAUGUUGUUAUGGUUGUCUUCCCAUUGCUAGCAGAUUAUUAAUGUCUUAU